AAAGUUUGAUUCUUUCUUGAGUUUCCAUGAGGCUAUCGAAUUUGUAUGAGUAUUAAGGUGAGUAAAAGGAAGUUCAUUUAAUAUGAAAAAUGUAAAAUAAAACAAAAAGGAGAGAAAUUAGGUAUCUUUUUAUUUAUGUAGUUUAUUUAAAUCUCAGCAUAAAAUAUUAAGAAUUAUAUAUUAAAAAUAUGAUUUAGUGGUAGUUUAAAACCUGACAAAAUAUUGUGCCAGCAGUCGCGGUUAGACUUUAAGGUUAAGUGGAAAUACAUUGGAUCUGGUUAAGCGAAAUUAAAGUGUAUAACUUAAAGGUUUCAAAAAACAAAAAGGUGGAAUUAAAUUUGUUUUUAUUGAAGAAAAGUGAGUAAAUACUUUUGCUGAAGCUGAUGAAAUUUAGGUUAAAACUAGGAUUAGAUACCCUACUAUUCUAAAGAAGAAAAAUAUUACCAUAAUAUUAAUAGCUAUAGGCUUUAAAUUUGAAGAAUUUGGCGGUGAUUUAAUCUUAUCAGAGGAACCUGCUUUUUAAUCGAUACACCACGAAAUAUCUUACUUGUUUUAAUUGUAGUUUGUAUACCAUCAUUAGCAGAUAAUUUUAAAAAGAAAAAUUAUUACGAUUAUAGUUUUAAAUAUAACAAAAUUAGAUCAAGGUGCAGCUUAUAAAUAAGUUAAAGUGGGUUACAAUAAAUUUUAUUUAUAGACGGAUAAAUAACAGUAAAAGUUAUAGGAAGGAGGAUUUGAUUGUAAUGGCGAGUUUAAUAUGCUCGAGAGAUAUAAGUUCUAAAUCAUGUACAUAUCGCCCGUCGCUUUCAUUUAUAAAUGAGAUAAGUCGUAACAUAGUAGGUUUACUGGAAAGUGAAUCUA
rnacentral:ncRNA from 1 species